GCAAGGCAGGACGGAGGGAUGAGGAAAAGGGGGCUGCCAGGGACAUUAGACAGUAGAGGACGGAGGGGUAGACGGCAUGAUGGGCUCGGUGGAGGAGAGGGGAGGAGAGGCAGAGAGGACAGUGACUGGAUGGGUGGAUGAAAGGUAGAUAUGGAUGGGUGGAUGAAAGGUAGAUAUGGAUGGGUGGAUGAAAGGUAGAUAUGGAUAGGUGGAUGAAAGGUAGAUAUGAAUAGGUGGAUGAAAGGUAGAUAUGGAUAGGUGGAUGAAAGGUAGAUAUGGAUAGGUGCAUGAAAGGUAGAUAUGGAUAGGUGGAGGGAGAUGGGAGGAGAGGCAGAGAGGACAGUAAACUGGAUGGGUGGAUGAAAGGUAGAUAUGGAUAGGUGGAUGAAAUGUAGAUAUGGAUAGGAGGAGGGAGAUGGGAGGAGAGGCAGAGAGGACAGUAACUGGAUAGGUGGAUGAAAGGUAGAUAUGGAUAGGUGGAUGAAAGGUAGAUAUGGAUAGGUGGAUGAAAGGUAGAUAUGGAUAGGUGGAUGAAAGGUAGAUAUGGAUAGGUGGAUGAAAGGUAGAUAUGGACAGGUGGAUGAAAGGUAGAUAUGGAUAGGUGGAUGAAAGGUAGAUAUGGAUAGGUGGAUGAAAGGUAGAUAUGGAUAGGUGGAUGAAAGGUAAAUCUGGAUAGGUGGAUAAAAGGUAGAUAUGGAUAGGUGGAUGAAAGGUAGAUAUGGACGGGUGGAUGAAAGGUAGAUAUGGAUAGGUGGAUGAAAGGUAGAUAUGGAUAGGUGGAUGAAAGGUAGAUAUGGACAGGUGGAUUAAAGGUAGAUAUGGACAGGUGGAUGAAAGGUAGAUAUGGAUAGGUGGAUGAAAGGUAGAUAUGGAUAGGUGGAUGACAGGUAGAUAUGGAUAGGUGGAUGAAAGGUAGAUAUGGACAGGUGGAUGAAAGGUAGAUAUGGACAGGUGGAUGAAAGGUAGAUAUGGAUAGGUGGAUGAAAGGUAGAUAUGGAUAAAAGGUAGAUAUGGAUAGGUGGAGAAAGGUAGAUAUGGAUAGGUGGAUGAAAGGUAGAUAUGGAUAGGUAGAUGAAAGGUAGAUGUGGAUGAAAGGUAGAUAUGGAUAGGUGGAUGAAAGGUAGAUAUGGAUAGGUGGAUGAAAGGUAGAUAUGGACAGGUGGAUGAAAGGUAGAUAUGGAUAGGUGGAUGAAAGGAUAGAUAGGUGGAUAAAAGGUAGAUAUGGAUAGGUGGAGGAAAGGUAGAUAUGGAUAGGUGGAUGAAAUGUAGAUAUGGAUAGGUGGAUGAAAGGUAGAUAUGGAUAGGUGG